rnacentral:lncRNA from 1 species
CUCUUCCAUGUAUGAUUGUGUGCCAUCUGCAAGCCUGAUGCUCUCUGAGGACAGAAAAGGAAUCACAUUCCCGGGACUGGAGUCACCAUGUGGGUCCUGGGAGUCAAACCCUGGUCCUCUGGAAGAGCAGCCAGUGCUCCUAACCACUGAGUUUGUCUCUGCUUUUUUUCUGUGUGCCUUGUUAUUUUGCCACUGUUCACGCCCUGCACACACUCGGCUGACCAUAGUUUCCUUGCAGUUGCUUUAAGGCGGGAGGGAGGGAGAGACAGAGGCUGGUUUUUGGUAAUGAACUGUCGGUAUUAAAAUUUGAUCUUGCUUUCCUACAGGCGCUUUCUGAGUGUGCCGUGACUCUGAAAACAAUUCAUCUCAAACGGGGCCCCGAAUGUGUUCAGUAUCUUCAGCAAGAAUACCUGCCCUCCUUGCAAGUCGCUCCAGAAAUAAUUCAGGAGUUCUGUCAAGCACUUCAGCAGCCUGAUGCUAAAGUUUUUAAAAAUUACCUAAAGGUGUUCUUCCAGAGAGCAAAGCCCUAGGACUGGUCCUCCCCGGCCCCGCCGUGAUCAGGAGCUCCAGUUCAUAAUUUAUAAAGAAGCAGUUCGUGUGUACCAUUUACAUUGGUCCUGUACACUGCUUCCAGCAUAUUGCGGUGUAUGUGGGAUUUUCUGUAAAAUGGGUGUAAUUUUUCCCUAAAGAAGGUGUGUGACAACAAGAGAGGUUGCCUGCAUGCCAGUUUAAAUUGUUUAUGUAAAAAUGCUGUUAUAAGACAUAGAUUUAUCCUAGUUCCUUAAUUUUUUUCCUUAUAUGAAACUUUAAAGUUCUUUAUAAAAUACAGCAGUGCAAAACUAACAAGUUGAACGUAAGGUUGGAAAUGUUCAGUUUUAUGUGUGCAGACACAUAAGCUAUGGGGUAACAAUCAAAACGUAAUCUUUUGUAGAUAGCCAUUACAUUUCUUUAAACUAUUUCAAUGCCAAUGUAUAUUCUAUAAGAGAAUGGGUUCCUAAUUCAGUCGGUUUAAAAGCAGGUGCUGGUGUUACACACUUUUUAUAAAAAAUAAAUUUUACAUAGUGAAAUAUACCAAGUCUUUUCCGGAAUUAUUACAGAGAGCCUCCUUUUCUCACCUUAGUUAUUCUGAUCUUCCCCCUAACGAUUUGCAAAUGUGAUGUGGGUGCCCUGUUUCACAGACUGCCCCAGAGGGAACACAGGUCUUUUGAAUGCACUAGAAACCAGCUCUGUCAGUCUGUGAUAGGAUCAUAGAGCCCAGUGUUUUUCUAUAUUAGAUGUCCUCAGAACACAGCACACUUGGACUUUUUGUUUGUUUGUUUUUGUCUAGAGACUGGGUCUCACUAUAGAACAGCCUGCCUCCCGUGGGGGGGUGGGGUGCUGGGGAGGGCUGGGAAAGACUGGAAAGUCCAGCCACACAGCUAGAGGCAUUUACAUUGAAAUCUGUUUCUAUUGUAAUCGCCCAGUGAAAGGGAAAAGGAUCAGAAGUUACAGGUCAUUCUCAGCCGCAUAGUGAAUUUGAGGUCAGCCUGGGCAGCACGAACAUCUGUCUAAAAAUGCAAUCAGUAAAAGCCUGAACUCUGUUGCUAAGGGCAUAUUAGUGGUGAGGACCAUCCCCAGUGCCCCAGAACAGGAGGGGACACAAGAUGUCAGGAGAGAUUUGCCUUCUCCUUUGGGCUGUUCCCUAAAAUCUUUUUAAGUGUGUUUGUGUGUGCACAUAUGUGGGGGAGAAUAAGAACCUUACAGGGUCUUCUACCCAGAGGGAUGUCUGCCCCAGUCCCAGGUUGCAGGUGUUGACUGCGCAGGUUUGCUAUGGGAUCCAAAUUCAGGAGCCAUCUUGUUCAUCGAGCACUUUGUCUGCUUGAGCCCCCACCUCCUGCCCCCUAGAUUUUAUUCUAAAUUGUGCACACGAAUCUUUUUCUGAUUUUAACUCCACAAGAGAUAGGAUUUUCCUUCAUUAUAAAAUGAAAGCAGUGAAGUAAACUGACAACUAGGAAUCUAUUUCAUCUACUAAAUGAUGAAGAUAGUGAAAUAUAUAGUACUUCUAUAAAUAAUGACUUUUUAAAAAAAAAUAGGUAAGUGCGCCAGGUUUGGUGGCUUCUGCCUGUAGUCACAGCAUUCAGAGGGGGGCGAGGCCAGUCUGGGCUAGAGUGAGACUCAGUUUCAAAAACAACAAAAAGCAAGACAAGCAAAAGUGGGCAUCUCUUUGCUGUGCACUGUGGGAGAUGUAAUAGCAUCUGCGGGCCACAGUGAGAUUGUAUGACGUAUUGUAGUACUUAGCGGAGCACAGUUGUUAAAAGCGUGUAUAAUGUGGACUCUGGAUCCAGAUUAAGUAGGUUCAAACACCACUUAACACCGGUAACUGAUUUUAGGACCUUGAGCAAGUUAAAUAACUUCUUCCUGCCUUGGUUUCCCAGUCAGAAACGGAGGUGCAGGGAGGGGGGACAAUGGUAGCUACCUCAUAACUUGUUAAGAACCCAAUGAAUUAAGAUACAGGUCUCAGUAUUAGCUUGUAUUUCUGUACUAUCGAGUCCACACGUGGCUCUUUAAAGCCCUACAGUGGGUUCACAUGUGUUUAGACCUGAAAAAUCAGGACAUGGAAAUCAGAGUGUAUAGAUAAAGAAUUUCAUGUUAAUGUAAUCAUGUCUAAUAAUCCUCAUCUUCAUUCCUUGAGAUUACCCAAGUAUGAUCAUGAUCAAGAAACCGUUCCGUCAUUAAGUACCUUAUUUUUACAAGCAGGCACCCAAAUAAUUGUCUCUAGGGAAUCUUAUUUGUUAAGUGAGAAGACAGAGGGUUUUAUGGUGCCUGAGUUAGUCCUGUGCCUAAGCAGUUGUUUCAGUCUCCAUGCUUGCUAAUGGUUUCACAAGUGGCUUGAUUCUCUUAGAAAGUAUUAUGUGGUAUUUUAAUGUGUAUCACUUCUGUGGUAAACAUGUGAAGUCCUUUGGCUUAGUCAUGUUUCCCCCCGUAACUUUUGAGCUGUGGGCUUUUCUGUUGGAAGAAACUUGGAUGGACCUGUCAUGUCAUUAUCAGAAUUGAAAUAGAUUUCAUUGUAAGCAGGAAGUGCAUUUGCUGUUAGAACGGUUUCAUUGCCUAAACUGUUUAAAAUUCUAAUAAAGUAACUUUCUAAGAA